UACCGUUGCUGCCGAUGGAAA
rnacentral:piRNA from 1 species